UUGAGGACUUGUUUGACCAUUAAAAAUAUUUAUUUGAAAAUCAUCAAUUCCAAAAGCCUCAAAUUCGUUCGAAAUCGCUGGCAUUCGUCUUAAAGUAGGCUUUCUUAUUUUUUUUCAGGAUUUUAUGUUGGAGAAUUUAGCUUCUUGAUUUGAAUUCAACUGUGUAAAUUGAUAUUGUUUCGCUUUUGCGGUUUACUCUGUUCAAGAUUUUGGCUUCUUCCUCUAAUUUCUUGAUUUUCGAUCAUUCUAGUACUUAUCAGUUGCUGAUUUUUCAGCAAAGAUUAUUAUCAUGAACAUCAAUGUUUUCUCAUCAAAAUUGAUCAAGUAGACAGAAGUAUAAAGGAAUUAAAGAAACGCGUCAACUUCAAGAUGCUCUUUAAUUAUAUAAACGCCAUUGAUUCAGUUUCUCUCUGAUUCAGUAAUGGCUAAUGGGAGUGUAGUUGGGUUCGUAGGUUUGGAUGAUAUCAGCUUGGAAUUGGCUACUUUGCUUCUUUAUUCAAGUUACUCUCUUCAGGCAUUAAUUGUAAGUGUACCUGAUAAUAGAGCACGGAAGCAUCCACGUGGCGACACUAUUCUGGUAUACUGAAUCUAUUUUAGCCUCUUUUAUCCUUUUUAAAAGUUGCAGGUAAAAACAGUUUCGUGCUUUUUAGAGUCUAUUUGAUGAAGUUGGGGGGUGAAAUACAAUCUCUACUGGGAAAGAUUGUUUGGCCAAGAAAAAUCAGAUGUCUCCCACUAACAAGAAACAACACUUGAUAGACUAAUUUGCAGAUAGCUAAAGAUAUCCUUUGUAUCUGUGGUGGGGCUUUUGUGGCUUAGAGAAUACAAUUGAUGAAAGGUUAUCUUGUCAUACUCAAUUAAUUUCAUGAAACACAUUUAGGUUAGUGAUAGCUUCAAUUGGAUCCGGAGCACCUGUCCAAGCUAACAUGAGAAUUGGUGGCCUAACUGAUGCAACAGUUACAUCAUCACUAUUGAAAUUUGUGAUGACUUGACCAUAGUUUUCUUUUGUAGAUCUAGUGAUUCUCAUGAAAUUUCAAAAGCUUAAAUGCAUCAGAGAGCAUUUGUUUGA